AUUGAACGCUGGCGGCAGGCCUAACACAUGCAAGUCGAAUGGUAACAGGAAACAGCUUGCUGUUUCGCUGACGAGUGGCGGACGGGUGAGUAAUGUCUGGGAAACUGCCUGAUGGAGGGGGAUAACUACUGGAAACGGUAGCUAAUACCGCAUAACGUCGCAAGACCAAAGAGGGGGACCUUCGGGCCUCUUGCCAACAGAUGUGCCCAGAUGGGAUUAGCUAGUAGGUGGGGUAACGGCUCACCUAGGCGACGAUCCCUAGCUGGUCUGAGAGGAUGACCAGCCACACUGGAACUGAGACACGGUCCAGACUCCUACGGGAGGCAGCAGUGGGGAAUAUUGCACAAUGGGCGCAAGCCUGAUGCAGCCAUGCCGCGUGUAUGAAGAAGGCCUUCGGGUUGUAAAGUACUUUCAGCGGGGAGGAAGGGAGUAAAGUUAAUACCUUUGCUCAUUGACGUUACCCGCAGAAGAAGCACCGGCUAACUCCGUG
rnacentral:rRNA from 1 species